ensembl:lncRNA
CGUUUUAGGAGCUUGCCUGUUCUUUCAAAACUGAGUAAAUGCUAAUUCUGAAACUCUAAUAUCUUUAUGUAAGCAUAUUUAAAUAAAACAAGUAGGAAAUCAGAUAUCAAGAAAUCAUUUUCUCCAAAAACUUAAUUUCUAUUGUUGGUAUUAUAUAUGUUGUAACUGUAACAUAUUUUUUAAGGUGUAAGUCAGUUUAGUAAGUGUGUAGUUUGUUUCCUAAAUCUUAAGAAGCACUCUAUUUACAAACUUCAUACAUUUAUUCCACUACAUUUAAGUUUUGAUGCAGCCUUGUCUUAAAGUCCCACCAACUUUGUCCCAAAAUGUUACUCAGAACAGGAGACAUAUUACAGAGUAUGCUUUAGAAAAAUAUGGAAGGAAAAUGAUGAAGAUAAACAGACAACUGAUGCUAAGCAACUGAUAUCUAAUGUUGGGCUUGCUCUAAUUGGCUUGGAGAAAAUCAUUUGAAAAACCCACAUAUAGUCAUGGAGUUUGUGGAGAUUAAAGGGAUUGUGUUUUGGUUUUUCGUAAUGUAUUUAGCUUUCAGUGGAUGUAAACACUCUAAAAUGAAGGAGAUAAAGAGUGCAGCCAUGCAGCUAUACAGUUUAAUGCACAAGGCUUUUUUUAUACAGAGACAUUUUCAACUUAAGUUAUAAAACAUUCAAACAGCUCGCUACAAGAACUCUAGUUGAUCAGAUCUGCAGUAGGAGCUGCAAAGAAACUGUAGUUGUUAGUUUUUUCUGAUGUUUACGGUCUAAACCAUUUCCACUAAACUUAUGAAUAUUUAGCAUCGUUGCGCAAUGAAGUAUUGUGACCAGUGCACAAAUCAGAGCUAUGCUGAUGAAAUAUCAAUACCUUUAAAUGAAAAAGUGAUUUUUUAUUUUUUAUUUUUAUUUUUUUUAAACUUUGUUGAUGAAGAUGGUUAAAGUGAUGACUAUUCCCAAGUUGAUAGGGAAAAAGAAUCCCAGAAGUAUUACAACCAAAAGUCUCACAAAUGAGAUUGAAAUUGUUUGUCCUUUUUGCUGUUUUUCUUUCUGGCAAAGCACUUAAUGUACAGUACUGAACUGAGAUUCAUGAUUUUCUAGUUUGUUUGUUUUUUUGUUAUUUUUGUUUUUUCAGAAGGAAAUUUAAUGGUACUUUGCCGUCUUUCCGUCUUUGCUUUUUGAGGAUUUUGCUGUGAUCUUUCCUAGAGUUUAAAAGUGUGCUGUUGUGAACUUUUUAAUAUGUACUGGAAACCUGAUCGAGCCAUGUCCGCUGACCUCAGUUUUUCCUUUGCUUUUUGUCUUUUGGCUUUCACUUUUGUUCCGUGAGGCUUUGUCAUCUCUCUGAUGCAACUGUUUCCGUCGUCUUUGAUCAUUUUUAGUCUCUUCCUUUGUCCUACUGCUGUUUUUCUUAGUAUUCCUGUACAGGUAAAAUGCUUAUUUUUAUUUUUUUUAUAUAUAUAUCUAUAUAUCUAUAUAGAUAUAUAGAUAUCUAUAUCUCAAUUAAAUAGAAACUGUAAAGCGAAACUCUAAUUUUCACCCUGUGCGCCCAAAAAUGUUGUAUUGAUAUCAAAUGCACAGUCUGCAGGCUUUAAAGAAUUUGUGUUCUUUACUGAGAUAUCAGCUGUAGCCGUGUUAAAAGAAUGCUUUGAGUGACCUCUUGAAUGAUUUUUCUUUCCAACUUACAGUAUUGAGUGUGUUCAUUUGGUCAAAAGUGAAUCAACAGUUAAAGUAAAAAAAAUAAGAAUUAUAGCUACAGAUUAUGCAUUUGGACUCAAAAGGGAUUUCUGUAGUUGAAUUAGUCAUUACUGAGUGGCUGUUGUGUGUCAUGUUCAGCACAUUUGUAAAAAAAUGUUUCCUUUCAUGUUUUUAUAUAUGUUUCAUUUUAUGCCAAUGCUGUCUUUCUAAAUGAAGUAGCCAACUCAGCACUGUUACAUGAAAACAGUUCAUCUUGUGUUAUUGUGUCAAAAUAAAUGAUAAACUUUGAUUCCUCUGCCAUUAACUUUUUAAUUUUUUUUUUUUUCUUUAACUCAUGAGUUGUGUGUGCCAAUAAAGCACCGAAACCUGA